AUCCAGAUGACGAGUCCCAAACAGGACGAAACGGGCCGUGACCAGUGGAG
rfam:Schistosoma curassoni strain Dakar, Senegal genome assembly, scaffold: SCTD_scaffold0002014